AGGUACGUUCUCAUCUGGGUUGCUCUGCGGCCGCUUUUCGCAUCCAAGACGUUCCAGAGUCAUCUCGAUCUUCGAUCGCUUCCACUGCGUCGUCAGAAUUUGCUUCAGUAGCCAACAUUACCAUUUGACCAGGAAUGUCAUGCAUGGAUUAUCAUCACAAUCCAGAAACAAUUGUCUUCAUGAUGGACAAUGUCAGUAUCAGUGAGGAGUUGCUGCUGCUGCUGCUGGUUCUGUAUCUAUCUGGUUGAUUUCUUGCCCGUAGGGUUUCAUUCUGAUGCUUAGAAGCGAAUCAAUGCACCGAGUAGCCUCCGCUGGAUUCCUUGCUCCUUGUUCUACUUCUUUGCCUAAUUAUUCUUCAUGAAUGGAUCAUUUUCUGAUAAAUCAUGAUGAUAUGUGUGGCGUAGUUUAAUCAGUUUGCGAGAUUGCGGGGGUAAGCACCAGGAUGUGGACGACUGAGACAUUGCUAACGAGCUACGACAAUGUGUCAUGAUGCGGCAUUGGGAUGAAUGGAAAUCGUUGCAUGUCCCAUUUAUAUGUCACGAGUUAGUAUCCCUAGUAAUGCCUGUUGCUGUAGGUUGU